rnacentral:rRNA from 1 species
UUCCGGUUGAUCCUGCCGGACCUGACUGCUAUCGGAUUGAUACUAAGCCAUGCGAGUCAUUGUAGCAAUACAAGGCAGACGGCUCAGUAACGCGUAGUCAACCUAACCUAUGGACGGGAAUAACCUCGGGAAACCGAGGAUAAUACCCGAUAGAUCAUAAUGCCUGGAACGGUUUAUGGUCCAAAUGAUUCGUCGCCGUAGGGUGGGACUGCGGCCUAUCAGCUUGUUGGUGAGGUAAUGGCCCACCAAGGCUAUUACAGGUACGGGCUCUGAGAGGAGUAGCCCGGAGAUGGGUACUGAGACACGGACCCAGGCCCUAUGGGGCGCAGCAGGCGAGAAACCUUUGCAAUGUGCGCAAGCACGACAAGGUUAAUCCGAGUGUUUCCUGCUAAAGGAAUCUUUUGUCAGUCCUAGAAACACUAACGAAUAAGGGGUGGGCAAGUUCUGGUGUCAGCCGCCGCGGUAAAACCAGCACCUCAAGUGGUCAGGAUGAUUAUUGGGCCUAAAGCAUCCGUAGCCGGCUCUGUAAGUUUUCGGUUAAAUCUGUACGCUUAACGUACAGGCUGCCGGGAAUACUGCAGAGCUAGGGAGUGGGAGAGGUAGACGGUACUCGGUAGGAAGGGGUAAAAUCCUUUGAUCUAUUGAUGACCACCUGUGGCGAAGGCGGUCUACCAGAACACGUCCGACGGUGAGGGAUGAAAGCUGGGGGAGCAAACCGGAUUAGAUACCCGGGUAGUCCCAGCUGUAAACUAUGCAAACUCAGUGAUGCAUUGGCUUGUGGCCAAUGCAGUGCUGCAGGGAAGCCGUUAAGUUUGCCGCCUGGGAAGUACGUACGCAAGUAUGAAACUUAAAGGAAUUGGCGGGGGAGCACCACAAGGGGUGAAGCCUGCGGUUCAAUUGGAGUCAACGCCGGG